rnacentral:misc_RNA from 1 species
AGCGAACCCGAGUGGGUGUUGCGUGGGGGGGCAGCGAUGCGUGACGCCCAGGCAGACGUGCCCUCGGCCAGAAGGCUCCGGGCGCAACUUGCGUUCAAAGACUCGGUGGUUCGCGGGAUCCUGCAAUUCACACCAAGUAUCGCAUUUCGCUACGUUCUUCAUCGAUGCGAGAGCCGAGAUAUCCGUUGCCGAGAGUCGUUGUGAAUAAUACGACAAGAAUGCUCCGCUCCCCGCACGCCGAGUCGGGGCGGGGGGCGGGAUAAUUCGUUUGAGUUCCUUGGCGCGACCUGCGCCGGGGUUUGGUUUAG